UUGGGCAGAUUGGUUCUGAUUAGUAGCAGCUGCAGCCUCAGCCCGCCGCAACACCACGAAGGCUGAGAAUACAUUCCAGAUGAUGAAUGUGAUACAGAUUUGCUGAAAAAUAUUUCUACCCUGCCUUUUGGACAUCCAAAGCAAAAUAUGUUUUUAAAGUAUCCCAGAUACCUGUCUCAAGAGCUGAGAAGUGACUCAUUUAACCACUGCAAGAAGCCUAGAAAGGUGGUGCUGGGUCUGUCGCCUUCAUCAUACCAUAGCUAAUACUGGUGAAGUUAUCCUUGAAAACCUGACUAUCUUAUUGUUAAACCAAUUUGGUUUUGUUUAGUUGUAUGUCACUUGUAAGUAGAAAAAAAAACCAAUCUGUAAGCUUU